rnacentral:ncRNA from 1 species
CGGCGAGGACGACCUCGACCCCUGUGGGCAAUGUAUCCGGGACGGCCCGG